UACGUAGGGGGCUAGCGUUGUCCGGAAUCAUUGGGCGUAAAGAGCGUGUAGGCGGUCCGGUAAGUCCGCUGUGAAAGUCGGGGGCUCAACCCUCGAAUGCCGGUCGAUACUGCCGGACUAGAGUCCGGAAGAGGCAAGUGGAAUUCCCGGUGUAGCGGUGAAAUGCGCAGAUAUCGGGGAGGAACACCUAUGGCGAAGGCAGCUCGCUGGGACGUUACUGACGCUG
rnacentral:rRNA from 1 species